ensembl:lncRNA
AUGAUUGUCCAGGCCGCAGGUGAAGCCGGGGGCUCAGGUGGAUGGUUGUCCGGUGACGGGCUGCUCCAUGCCUGCCGUGAGAGGGCCGAGCAUCUGGAGGUGUGUCUGGAGAGAGCACAGGUCAGUCUGGAGGGGUCGAGACAGCAAGCACAGGACGCAGCCAUGCAGCACUGCAUUGAACAACAACUUCACAACUGCCAGACAAUUCUUGUGGAGAUUGAGCAGAGAAUCUCCAGUCUUCCUGUGUGUGGAUUGAAAGAACAGGAGCAACAUGAGGCUGAAUCGCUUAACACCAAACUCCAGCUGCUGAAGAACAGACUGGUGACAGUCCUAUUACAGCUGCAAGAGAGACUCGGCGAAGAUCAGGUACACACACAUACACUAAUACAUCCAUAAUGUAGUCUUACCAGCCACAAAAUGUCUGUUUUUUAUGUUGGGGACAGCGUAAUCCAGGUGUACUUAAUGAACAGAUUGAAUGUGAUGACAGAAAGUGAUCAUUAGCAUGCUAAUUGCGGCUGAUUUUCACAUUUGCUGAUUCUGAGGUAUUAGAUCUACUGUAGAAGUGUUGCUAGUGAGAGGCAGCAAAGUGCCUGGAUUUGAACUGUGGAAAUAGGGCUGUCUGAGCUGAGGUGUUAUGUUUCUGUCUCUCUCUGUCUGCAGGUGCCUGUUGAGAGUCAGCGCCCCCUGCAGGCCAGGCUGACGCGCAGCAACAGUGUGCAGGAGAUGUUAAGUUCUUGCAAAACCAAACUGUUCAGACAGAGCAGCCUUCAACAACAAAGGGUAAUGCACACAUUCAUUCACUCACUUUUAAAAUAUUAGUUAUAGCACACCUUUUUUUUUUUUAUUUGUCUCUGCAGGGUUUAACAAUAAGGAUUUUUUUUACUAGCCUAUAGUCAGAUUAGACAAUAUUUCAACUGACUCUCUACCAUUAACGCAGAUUUUAUUUUGGGCAGUUGGUAGGAUUUUUUUAAUGGCUGCUUGUAUUUGAUCAAAACUACAGGUAAAUACAAGAAAACAUAAUAUUGUUUAAUCUUUUUUUUUUUUUAGUUUAAAAUACAUUUUUUUAUUUUAAUAUAUUAUAACAUUUUAUUUAUUCUUUUGAUGACAAAGCUAAAUUUUCAGCAGCCAUUACUCCAGUCUUCAGUGUCACAUAAGAAAUCAUUCUAAUGUGCUGAUUUGGUGCCCAAGAACUCAUUUAAUAUUAUAAAAGGUCUGCUUAAUAUUUUUGAGGAAACCAUUAUACAUUUAGGAUUCUUUGAUGAAUAGAAAGUACACAAGAGUAGCAUUGUAACAUUAUAAAUGUCUUCACUGUCUCUUUUAAUCAGUUUAACCUAUACUUGCUGAAUAAAAGUAUU